rnacentral:misc_RNA from 1 species
GAUGAAGAACGUAGCGAAAUGCGAUAAGUAAUGUAAAUUGCAGAAUUCAGUGAAUCAUCGAAUCUUUGAACGCACAUUGCGCCCGCCAGUAUUCUGGCGGGCAUGCCUGUUCGAGCGUCAUUACAACCCUCAGGCCCCCGGGCCUGGCGUUGGGGAUCGGCGGAAGCCCCCUGCGGGCACAACGCCGUCCCCCAAAUACAGUGGCGGUCCCGCCGCAGCUUCCAUUGCGUAGUAGCUAACACCUCGCAACUGGAGAGCGGCGCGGCCACGCCGUAAAACACCCAACUUCUGAAUGUUGACCUCGAAUCAGGUAGGAAUACCCGCUGAACUUAAGCAUAUCAAUAAGCGGAGGA